rnacentral:rRNA from 1 species
UAGGGACGAUUGAGAACGGAGCCAGCUGCGAGACUUGGUGUGAAUUGCAGGACACAUUGAGCACUGAUUUUUCGAACGCACAUUGCGGCCUCGGGUCCUACCCGGGGCCACGCCCGUCUGAGGGUCGGAUGAUGCUUGCAAAAGGGGUUGUACCCCUCCGUGGCCGCACCGGACGCAGAAGUCGUUCGCCGGCCUAAAUCUUAGCACAGCACGUCCUGUGCAGUCUCGUCUCCUUGCGGAAGGGUGGCAAGCGAUGCUAUCCGGACGGCACCGAAGGACGGUCGGCGACGGGAGAGGCGGAUUGAAAAGCCGUUCCCGCGAUCGCCCGAAUUGACUUGUCCAGCCGGGAUGGCGCCUUGCCCCAAGUCUUGGAGUUACGAGACACGAAGGGACGUGCGAACUUGUCCGGAAAAAUUCCGGUCCGUUCUCCCCGAGGGGUAGAGCGAAACUAACUGUUAUGUCGACCUCAGAUCGGACGAGAUGACCCGCUGAAUUUAAGCAUAUCAAAAGCCGGAGGAAACUC